GGAAAGGCUGCCCGCGGCUGGUGUUCCCCCUUCUCGGGAGGCGCCAGUUGGCGGACGCUGGACUAUUUUAUUACCCUUGUCUUUUGCGCACUUGUUGUUUCCUGGGCGGGUUCGCCCGCCACCAGGACCACACUAUAAACCUUUUGUAUGCAGUUGCAAUCAGCGUCAGUACAACAAAUGUAAAAUCAUUUACAACUUUCAACAACGGAUCUCUUGGUUCUGGCAUCGAUGAAGAACGCAGCGAAAUGCGAUACGUAGUGUGAAUUGCAGAAUUCAGUGAAUCAUCGAAUCUUUGAACGCACAUUGCGCCCUUUGGUAUUCCAAAGGGCAUGCCUGUUCGAGCGUCAUUUGUACCCUCAAGCUUUGCUUGGUGUUGGGCGUUUUUGUCUUGGGGCCUGCCCCCAAAAGACUCGCCUUAAAAAGAUUGGCAGCCGGCCUACUGGUUUCGCAGCGCAGCACAUUUUUGCGCUUGCAACCAGCCCUAAAGAGGACGGCACUCC
rnacentral:rRNA from 1 species